UGAUAUUUAUUUUAUUAUUUUUAUUUUUUGUUAUUAUUUAUUUUUAAUAGAAAUAAUUUUAUUGAUUUUUGUCUUAGUAUAUUUUAUAGAAUAGAUUUUUUAAAUUAUAGUUUAUUAGUAAUGUAAUUGGAUUAUGAAAUAUUUAUUUAAAUUUAUUAAAGUAAAUUUAAUUUAUUGUACCUUUUGUAUCAGGGUUUAUCAAAAUUUUAGUAAACAUUUACUAUUCUCGAUUUAGGUUGAUUUACAAAUAAAUUAUAGUUAAUGUUUCAUAAUUAUUAUUAAUUUAUUUGUAGAAAUGAAAUGUUAUUCGUUUCCUAAUAUAUCUAGUUUCUUAAGAAAAAAUUUAAUUUUUUAUGUUUAUGUGUUUUAUUUAAUUUUUAAAUUAAAAAUACUAAAUAAUUUAUUCUUUAGGGGAUAAGCUCUGAAGUUUGUUCUAUAAAUUUUGUAAUUUAAAUAUAAUAAUAAGCUUUAAACCAGCUAUUUUUAAGAUUACGUUUUAGUUCAUUAUUUUUAUAUUUGAUUUUAUAAUUAUUUUAGAUUUUUUAUUAAGAUGUUGAAUUUAAUUUUUAAAUUUUUGUAAUAAUGAUGGAAUUAGUAUAAUUAUUUUGUUUAUAAUAUUUUUAGUUGAUAAUUUAUUAUAAGGAACUAGGCAAAUUGAUUUCCGCCUGUUUAUCAAAAACAUGUCCUCUUGAUAAUAUUUUGAGGUCUGGCCUGCUCACUGAAUUUUUUAAGAGCCGCGGUAUUUUGACCGUGCAAAGGUAGCAUAAUCAUUAGUCUCUUAAUUGGAGGCUGGAAUGAAUGGCUUGACGAGAAAUCGACUGUCUCUUAAUAAUUUUUAAAAUUUAACUUUUGAGUCAAAAGGCUUAAAUUUUUCUUUAGGACGAGAAGACCCUAUAGAGCUUGACAUUCUACUUUUAUAUAAUUUUAAGAUAGUCUUUUUAUAUAAAAUGACAAUGUUUUGUUGGGGUGACAUGAAGAAUUAACAAACUCUUCAUUAUAAAAUCAUUAAUUUAUGUUUAUUUUGAUCCAUAAUUUAUGAUCAUAAGAUUAAGUUACCUUAGGGAUAACAGCGUAAUUGUUUUUGAGAGCUCAUAUCGACAAAGCAGAUUGCGACCUCGAUGUUGGAUUAAGAAAAGUUCUGGGUGCAGCAGCCCAGUAAUUAGGUCUGUUCGACCUUUAAAUUCUUACAUGAUCUGAGUUCAGACCGGCGUGAGCCAGGUCGGUUUCUAUCCUAAGAUUAGAAAUUCAUAUUAGUACGAAAGGACCAUAUGGAUAAAACAUUUUUUAGUUUAAUGAUUAAAAUUAAUUGUU
rnacentral:rRNA from 1 species